ensembl:lncRNA
AUGGCUGAAAUUCACCUUUGGCUUGAAGUAGUUACUGCGCUACAAGACCGUCUGUUUGAUCUUUGCUGUUCCAGAUCUUCAGAUGAAGACGGAGGCUCUCCAGUGCUUCGUGUUGCAUCUCCAUCUCCCCUUAAUUCCUGUCCUCAUCCUUCAGAGAAAGAUCCCAAGGUCAGGAAUUUCAAACCGCACAUGAAAUGAUGACUGCAUGACAAGAACUAAAAGCCCAGAAGGAAGUGGAGGGCUGCAGCUUCUUUGCACCGUAUUCGGACUACUCAGAGGAACAUGUUUCCUUGCUAGGAGGAGGGAGUGAACUGUGAAUGCUGGAACGGAGAACUAUGAGAUCUCAAACAUGCACAGAAUAGUUCUGCUCGAGUGCAGCCAGGGUUAAAACACCGUGCACUCAUUAUUAAUAACUGAAAUACACCUGCAUACACACACACAUACAAAAAAUUAAUUGUUGAAUACACACACACUGACAUGGCUUAACUACACUUCAUCUCUUGCUGCCAUGUAAAUAAUGUAUAUAUCCCUAACACUUUUUCCUUUCUCUGUUGGGUUUCAGGUUUGAUUUUCUUUUUCCUUUUCUUUCUUCUCUUUUAAUGACAUGCCUUAACAGUUCAGUUUUGCCUAUUAAGGCACACUUAAGAUGUGUAAUACAAAAAAAAAGUGUUAACAGUCAGCGAGACUAGCUCUGUGAUUGUAGCGAGUGAUUUUAUUUAAUAAACCCUUGAAACAUUGUUUAUGAACCUGCAAAAUGAUUUAUAUCAAACGAUCCCCACAAAAGACAUGCAAUUACUUCUUGGUUUUAACUGGGCAAGUAUUUCUGAUGAUACAACCUAAUGUUAAAAUGGUUUUUGCUUUGCAGUUUCAAUAUUAGAGGCAAAAACUGUUUCCAGGUCAGAAUGAUCAAAUGUUUAAAUUUUUGAUCUCAAAAUAGACGUGGCUGGGCAGAAGUACUUUUACUAACACAUGCUUGAGUGUCAGCUUCAGCUGUUACUGAGCUAAAGAUCAGAAAGGAUGGGAUUUGUUGGUGAAGGUGAUGCACGCCAUUAUCUGAGUAAGGUAUUGCCCUUUAAAGAUGAUUCAUUGUGUAAUGUUGCAGGUCAGAUUAAACUAGAGAUGCCUAAUGUCUUUACUGGUAUGCAAAAAAAUCCAUGUUUUAAAAUGUUAAUGAUGAUAAAAAUACAUGUUUCUUAUAUUUAUUGAUAUAAUACUGCAGCAAUACUGUAUUGACUGUCACAGAACUGUGUUCAUGUUAAAGUGAUCAACUGAAUAACAGUGGCAUUGGCUGAUUCUAAAUCAUAAAAUCGUAUGCUAGUCAUCCUUGCUAUCACACACAUCUGAGGUGGAUGUCUUUUGAAAUUUCCAGAGAUGCAACAAUUUAAGAAAGGUCAUAAGAAACCAUUUUGACAAUAAUGUAUGAAUAUUCAUUUUGUAAAUAGUUUUUGGAGGUUUCUGGUUUGUUUGAAGAAAAACAAUAAAUACUUCAGAAUGAAGCACUUGUGCGAACUGUUUUUUUUUUCACUAUUUAGCAUUUGACAUUUAAAAAAAAU